rnacentral:lncRNA from 1 species
CUAUAUACAAGUUGCAGUGGCAUAAAAAAACAAACAACUAGUCCUAACUGGAGAGGUAACAGUUGCUUGUUCACUGGGUUGGCCAAACUGCAAAAUGAACAAAAGUGGAGUCAGAAAGCAAAACAGUAUGAUAGAAUUUGAGAAACCUCAAGAAAAUCAGUAUCUAGCUCUAAAAUGGUAGAGUACAAACUGUGACAAAGGAGAGUACCAAGAAAUAAGGCUAUAGAGGUAGGUAGUAGCUACCUAUCUUGACCACAGAGCAGUGUAGGCAUUAGGAAACCAGGUUCAUAGUUUAGACAGAUCUGUCUGGCAACAAUGUAAAAUGGAUUAGGGGGAGGGGAUGAGAAAGAUGGUUGUCAGAGAGACCAGUAUAGGUGACGGGUUAUGAAAACUUAAAUUAAGGCAAUAGUGCAAUGGAGAUAGAAGGGCAGGAAUGUUAGAUGUAGUAAGCAGAUGACAGAACUGAUAGCACUCAAUCAUCAUCAACUUGAGUGAUGGGCAGGGAUUGGGCACAGGCGCCAGAUGAAGGAAAAAGCAGAGUGGAGAAUAAAUUCUGGGUUCAAGUGACAGGUGAAUGGUGGUGUUACUCACUGAGAAGAGGAACCGGUUCAGGGAGGGAAGGAAAGUGUGUUCUGGUUUUGAAUGUGUAGAGUCUGUGAUGCAUUUGAAAUAGCCAGUUCUAAUAUACAUGGGAAUAUAAUCUGGAGCCCAGAGGAGAUAAAUGUCUGGGUAAAGGAGAUAAAUGUCUAGGUGAAAGGUAUGGCAGUAACAGAAAAAACAGGAGUGGAUAAGAUCACUCAGAUAAAGUACUGAAUAAAAAGAAACAAACACAAAACCAGUAACAAAAGGCUUCUGGGGAUACCAAUAAUUAAGUGGCAGAGAAGUCCACAGAAGACAGAGACUGAGCAGUCAUAAAGGCAGAAGCAGAACCUAGAGAAUGAUGUCAUGGAAACCAAGGUAGUGCACAGUUUUCAGAAGGACAGGGUGAGUAAAUGGAGCCAUGAAGUGACUGGUUUUUCACAAAUCAACUGGCUGGUAAAACUUUCACAAUGCCAAAUAUAAGGUUUGGGGGUACACGUACUUACAACUGUAUUAAUUGAGACCCACGAGGCAAGAGAAAAUCUGCAGCUAAGGAGAAAUGUUUUACAGUUCAUUACACAUGAAAUAUUAAAUACGCUUCUAUUAGAAACUGUUACUGUGUUGGCAAGGAUUAACAGACUUGUAGCUAAAAAAAAAAAAAAAAAAGAAUCACACUGUAUUUUAUCUAGAGUAUUUAAUUCUCCAUCUCUUCCUCUGUGUGAAAGGCACCUAGAAGAACAGAAUUACAAGGAAGAGAAUGGGGUUAGAAAUUUGUAGAAGACCGAGAAAGGUCUAAUGUAUAACAAUUUUUAAAACUUCAUGUGGAAAAAUUAUUCAUUUCACCAGUGACAUUAGGAUCUACUUAUGACCUCUGAAUCAGUCUUUGAUAAGGAUUACAGAGUAAAUGCCAAAAGAAACAAUAUGAUCCAAUCUUGUGUGGACCCAAAGUGCUGUUUGUUGAUUUGUUAUCAAGGAGCCUGCUCUUCCUAAUCUAUGCACUCCCUUGAAGAACUCAAGUCAUCUCCAUGUGCUCUGACACAAACUCUGCCCUCUACAUCUAUCCCCUCUCCUCAAAUUUCUCUGGUAUGUACAUUUCCAUUCUUAAUUGCCUCACUCCCACAGAAGCUACUCCUCUUCUUUUCGGAGAGUAACUCUACCAUAUUUGCAUCUGUUACCAACCCUUCCCGAACUUGCUCCAUUAUGCACCCACUCUAACAUCUUUGAUCUCUCUCUCUCUCAUUGUUUUUUCCCUAGUCUACCUUACUGCUUUCUCUCCCAUCCUGGCAAAAAUUACCUGAAAGAAUUCAUUCAACAUGCCAGGCACCAUGAAUGGUGCUACAUACGCCACAGAGACACAUUCAAAUACAAUCCCCCUGCCUUCAAGGAGCUUAGAGAGAAAUAUAAAAAAUAAUGAUUAUACAAAUUGGGUUGAGCCCUGGAAAAAAAGAAUAAAAUGCUAUAAGCAUAUGAAAGGAGGAGUAGAAGGGAAAAAUAUUAAGCUAGAUUUGAGCAAAUAAAUAGGUGACUUGAAAGUGGGAGAAAAAAAUAGCCAAGUAUUUACCAUGCAAAAAGGCCACUCUGUGUAAAGAUCCUGAUACCAGAAACAAAGCCUGAGCUGUCUGAGCAACUGUAACACCCAGUGUAUCAAUACACAGUUUAUCAGAGGAAGAUUGGCAGAACCUAUGGAUAUAUAAUUAGGCAAUGUGUCUCAGGCCAUGGGAAGAAUUUGAUUUAUAUUUUAAAGACCUGGAGAGUAGUGUCAGCAAGAUGGCAGAAAAGCAAGUCUUGAACUCUCCUUCCCCAAACCAACAUGUGGGUUCAAUUAAAAAAAUAGUAAAACCCCCAACAUGGACAAAUUCCCUUUUUAAGAAAUCCAAAAAUUAGUCAAGAAGCUAUUGUACUCUGGGUGAAUGCAAAAUCAGCCACAUGGAAGCAAUUAAGGAAAUGUAGGACACCUGUAAUCCUACCCCCAAUACAGCAUAUGAUCAGAAGGAACCUGUUGGGAAAGAAAAUAGUUGGAUCACACAUCCAACACCCCAACUUUUCUGGGUGCUGUUCAGAAGACUGGCUUCUGCCUUGCCUGUCUUGGAACACUAAUAGGACCAUGACACUCUUGCUGCCUGGGACCAGUGAGAUCAGACCGGUGAGAUCAGAGAUGAUGGUUUAGGCUAGCAGUUUCCACAGUCCACAGCUCCAGCUCAGCACUCCAGCAAUGAGUGAAGAAACUCCAGAUUCAAGUUUCUCCCUGUGCAGAGAAAGCAAUGGACAGAACACCCAACAAUCUGACUUUUCAGAAGUCUGGCCAAGGGACUGGCUGAAAUUCUGCUUGUCUGAGUACUGAUAGGACCUAGAAUACUCCUGAAGCCUGAAGGAUGCUAAGAACAAAAAAAAAAAUUAGUUAAACUAGUACAAAGAUAUGAAAAGCCCCCCUCUCUCGCCAGACUGAUUAGUGAGGGUCUUCUCCUGUAUAAGGCUAGUCUCUGAGGAGUGGAAGUGAUAGCUAUUUUAUAUAAUAUACAAGUAUCAACUUAAAGAGGGAGGAAAAAUUAACACACAGGGAAAUAUGUCCAAAACAAACAAAAUAAAUCUCCUGAAACCAAAUCUAAUAAAACCAAGAUACAUGAUUUGCCUGAAAGAGAAUUCAACAUACCCAACAUAAAGAUGCUCAAUGAGGUCAGGUAAACAAUGCAUGAACAAAGUAAAAUUUCAACAGAGAUAGGAAAUACUUUACCAAACAAAUCUUGGAACUAAAAAAUAUAAUAACUGAAAUAAAAAUUCACUAGAGAGGGUCAAAAGCACUCUAGAUCAAGCAGAAGAAGAAAUAAACAAACUCAAACACAGGUAUUUGGAAAUUAUCAAGUCAGAGUAACAAAAAGAACAAGGAAUAAAAAAGUAAAGAAAGCUUGAGAAACUUAAAAAACACCAUUAAGCGGACAAAUAUACACAUUGUAGGAGUCCCAAAAAAGGAAGGGGGAGAAAGGGAAAGAAAGCUUAUUCAAAGAAAUAAUGACUAAAAACUUCCCAAAUAUGUGUGUGUGGGAGGGAGAGGCAGGAGGCAUGGGGAAUGGACAUCCAGAUCCAGGGGACCCAAUGGAACCCAAAUAAGAUGACCCCAAAGAAAUAUGUACAAAGACACAGUUAAAUCAAAUUGUCAAAGUCAAAAAGAGAAUUCUGAAAGCAUCACAAGAAAAAUGACCUGUCACAUGCAAGAGAACUCCAAUAAGACUAUGAGCAGAUUUCUCAGAAGAAAUUUUGCAGAGAAAGUGGGAUGAUAAACUUGCACUGCUUGGGCAAUGGGGAAUGGGGGUAAUUGUCAACCCAGAAUAAUGUAAGAAGAAGUGUUCUUCAAAAAUGAAUGGGAGUGGCUGGGUGUAGUGGCUCACUCCUGUAAUCCCAGCACUUUGGGGG